GACGAACGCUGGCGGCGUGCUUAACACAUGCAAGUCGAACGAUGAAGCCUAGCUUGCUAGGUGGAUUAGUGGCGAACGGGUGAGUAAUACGUGAGUGACCUACCUUUGACUCUGGGAUAAGCCUGGGAAACUGGGUCUAAUACCGGAUACGACCAAUCUCCGCAUGGGGUGUUGGUGGAAAGCGUUAUGGAGUGGUUUUAGAUGGGCUCACGGCCUAUCAGCUUGUUGGUGAGGUAAUGGCUUACCAAGGCGACGACGGGUAGCCGGCCUGAGAGGGUGACCGACCACACUGGGACCGAGACACGGCCCAGACUCCUACGGGAGGCAGCAGUGGGGAAUAUUGCACAAUGGGCGCAAGCCUGAUGCAGCGACGCCGCGUGAGGGAUGACGGCCUUCGGGUUGUAAACCUCUGUUAGCAUCGAAGAAGCGAAAGUGACGGUAGGUGCAGAGAAAGCGCCGGCUAACUACGUG
rnacentral:rRNA from 1 species